rnacentral:rRNA from 1 species
UACGGAGGUGGCAAGCGUUGUUCGGAAUUACUGGGCGUAAAGGGCGCGUAGGCGGCAAGGCAAGUCAGGUGUGAAAGCCCCGGGCUCAACUCGGGAACUGCAUCUGAAACUGCUGUGCUUGAGUCCUGGAGGGGGUAGUGGAAUUCCCAGUGUAGCGGUGAAAUGCGUAGAUAUUGGGAGGAACACCGGUGGCGAAGGCGGCUACCUGGACAGUGACUGACGCUGAGGCGCGAAAGCUAGGGGAGCGAACGGG